CAUAUACUCCCUCCGUCCCAAAAUUCUUGUCUUAGAUUUGCCUAGAUACGGAUGUAUCUAAUACUAAAAUGUGACUUGAUACAUCCGUAUUUAGACAAAUCUAAGACAAGAAUUUUGGGACGGAGGGAGUAUUGU
rnacentral:pre_miRNA from 1 species